GUAAACUCCAUCUAAGGCUAACGACGACGAGAGCGAUAGCGAACAAGUACCGUGAGGGAAAAUUGAAAAGAACUUUGAAGAGAGAGAAAGAACUUUCAAGAGUACGUAAAACCGUUCAGAGGUAAACCUAAGAAACCCAAAAGAUCGAACGGGGAGAUUCAUCGUCAGCGACGCUGGCUUCGCGUCGGUGGGCGAUGUCCCGCGGGGCCUCGCGGCUCGCAGCGCGGACACGCUGCCGUGCGUCGAUGUCCGGCGUUCGUCGUCGUGCACUUCUCCCCUGGUAGAACGUCGCGACCCGUUGGGUGUCGAUCUACGGGUGCAGUGACUGACGCGCCGCCCAUAAAACGGCACGCGUCAAACCCUCGGUCGCCCGGCCGGCUAUCCGGCGGUACANGCAAGGUGUCAGGCCGCAUCUCAAUCACACGAGUGCGUCGAGGCCGUCGCAAGCGCGCGCCAAGGUACACGGAGGCUAACGGACCUAGCGCCAUCAUCGGUCCUGGCCCGCUGUUGGUCGUACGGUUAACCUUCGACAGGCCUACGAACCGUCGCCCCCGGGGUUCGUCCUCGAGCGGGGACCGAUACCGGUCGGCGACGCUACUGCUUUGGGUAC
rnacentral:rRNA from 1 species